UUCACAGUUCCUCACGGCUGCUGGUACAUCAUCCUGGUCCACUUUUUCAACUUGACCUGAAACAGUGUUGUUGACCUUCCUUUCUUUCAGAAAUAGAGCUCGAGUACGGAUGCAGAGGAAAUAUACAUGGAGAAUGUGAUGCGACUGAGAGAAGAACAACCUACAACAGACUCAAGCGUAUGGAGAACAUCAGAAACUGGACACAUAUACCACAUCCACAGCAGACAUCUUUCUUCAGUGAUUUUAUUUUCAGAGGAAAUGCAGCUCAGCACCACCUUUAAGAUGGGCAGUUUCCAGUGGCACCACGUGGAGGAACGGACAUCGCCACCUAUAUAUACAGGGUUGCCCCUUGAGCGACGUCAUCUUUACAGCCGGGCUCAGCAGAGACCACAUUUGGAGGGUCGUCAUGACUACAGCCAGGCUCAGCAGAGACCACAUUUGGAGGGGGGUCAUCACCGCAGCCGGACUCAGCGGACAGAAAAUCUGUAGAGGCGUCAUCACCACAGCCGGACUCAGCGGACAGAAAAUCUGUAGAGGCGUCAUCACCACAGCCGGACUCAGCAGAGAAGAAGCUGCUGUAGGAGCUGGCUGUGAGCUCAAUACUACAGUUGAAUCCGGCUGAGUAAAUCUCUUGAGGAACAUUAUCACUACUUCUGGAGGAGCUGGCCGAGUCCUCACUGUGACCAUCGACAGACUCUACCAGUGAUUGUUCUUCACCGUGAACACUGUCAGGCUCUACCAGUGAUGGUUCUUCACCGUGAACACUGUCAGGCUCUACCAGUGAUGGUUCUUCACCGU
rnacentral:lncRNA from 1 species